AUUGAACGCUGGCGGCAUGCUUUACACAUGCAAGUCGAACGGUAACAGGUUAAGCUGACGAGUGGCGAACGGGUGAGUAAUGCAUCGGAACGUGCCCGAUCGUGGGGGAUAACGCAGCGAAAGCUGCGCUAAUACCGCAUACGAUCUGAGGAUGAAAGCAGGGGACCGUAAGGCCUCGCGCGAUCGGAGCGGCCGAUGUCAGAUUAGGUAGUUGGUGGGGUAAAGGCUCACCAAGCCAACGAUCUGUAGCUGGUCUGAGAGGACGACCAGCCACACUGGGACUGAGACACGGCACAGACUCCUACGGGAGGCAGCAGUGGGGAAUUUUGGACAAUGGGCGAAAGCCUGAUCCAGCAAUGCCGCGUGCAGGAAGAAGGCCUUCGGGUUGUAAACUGCUUUUGUACGGAGCGAAAAGGUUCUCUCUAAUACAGAGGGCUCAUGACGGUACCGUAGGAAUAAGCACCGGCUAACUACGUGCCAGCCGCCGCGGUAA
rnacentral:rRNA from 1 species